rnacentral:rRNA from 1 species
UACGUAGGCAGCGAGCGUUGUUCGGAGUUACUGGGCGUAAAGGGUGUGUAGGCGGUUUUCUAAGUUUGGUGUGAAAUCUCCCGGCUCAACCGGGAGGGUGCGCCGAAAACUGGGAGACUAGAGUGCGGGAUGGGAGAGUAGAAUUCCUGGUGUAGCGGUGAAAUGCGCAGAUAUCAGGAAGAACACCCAUGGCGAAGGCAGCUCUCGUGGGACGGUACUGACGCUGAGACGCGAAAGCGUGGGGGAGCGAACAGG